rnacentral:rRNA from 1 species
ACUCCUACGGGAGGCAGCAGUGGGGAAUAUUGCACAAUGGGGGAAACCCUGAUGCAGCCAUGCCGCGUGUGUGAAGAAUGCCUUCGGGUUGUAAAGCACUUUCAGUAGGGAGGAAGGUAGUGUAGUUAACACCUGCAUUAUUUGACGUUACCUACAGAAGAAGCACCGGCUAACUCCGUGCCAGCAGCCGCGGUAAUACGGAGGGUGCGAGCGUUAAUCGGAAUUACGUGGGCGUAAAGCGCAUGCAGGCGGCCUGUUAAGUCAGAUGUGAAAGCCCGGGGCUUAACCUCGGAAUUGCAUUUGAAACUGGCAGGCUAGAGUCUUGGUAGAGGGGUUAGAAUUUCAGGUGUAGCGGUGAAAUGCGUAGAGAUCUGAAGGAAUACCAGUGGCGAAGGCGGCCCCCUGGACAAGACUGACGCUCAGAUGCGAAAGCGUGGGAGCAAACAGGAUUAGAUACCCCUGGUAGACUGUCA